GCCCCUGCAACCCUCCUUCCUCCUCCCCAACACUAGAGUUUUUAGUUGUCAUAUCCAAUUCUGUCUUCCUAAGAAGCUGAAUCCUAUCCCUCAACCUGUCAUGCCUCUAUCACUGGGGACCUGCUUCAGUGAGAAUGAUCUUUAACCAGAAAUCAAGAUAGCCCAUCACCUAAUCAAAUGAGGUCUCCCUAUGUUGCCUAGACUGGUCUUGAACUCUUGGGAUCAAGUGAUCCACCCGCCUCCACCUCCCCAAGUCCUGGGAUUACAGGCUUGGACCACCAAACCUCGUGAGUUUGAAUAUGCAUUCAAGAGGUUAAGUGCUCAAAGCAUGUGGUUCACAGAACAACCAAAACACAUGGAGUCUGCUGGGAUUCAAAUCCAGGUUCUGCAACUCACAAGGCACAACAAAGCAUUGAAGGAAUACAUGCCACAAUGGGAACUGUUCAAAAGCCUGACAAUGUGCAAUUAGCAUGGUUCUCAACACUGUUUACCCUUGCAGAAGUUACCUGUCAUUCUCCAGUACUCCCAGCUAUAAAGUUUAA